rnacentral:rRNA from 1 species
CUCCUACGGGAGGCAGCAGUGAGGAAUAUUGGACAAUGGGCGCAAGCCUGAUCCAGCCAUGCCGCGUGCAGGAUGACGGUCCUAUGGAUUGUAAACUGCUUUUGUACAGGAAGAAACACUCGUACGUGUCCGAGCUUGACGGUACUGUAAGAAUAAGGAUCGGCUAACUCCGUGCCAG